rnacentral:snoRNA from 1 species
UGGACAUUUAUGUCUAUUCGGUUUCUUCUCCAGGUGAAGAAAACUCUUUAUAAAUGUCCUAGAGAAACAUAGUAGGUGUCUGUCCAGCCUUCGCAAGUGAGAAGGGUGGAUCGUUCCACUACUGACAGUU